CACGUAGGGGGCAAGCGUUGUCCGGAUUCAUUGGGCGUAAAGAGCUCGUAGGCGGUUCGAUAAGUCGGGUGUGAAACCUCCAGGCUCAACCUGGAGACGCCACCCGAUACUGUCGUGACUAGAGUCCAGUAGGGGAGCGUGGAAUUCCUGGUGUAGCGGUGAAAUGCGCAGAUAUCAGGAGGAACACCAGCGGCGAAGGCGGCGCUCUGGGCUGGCACUGACGCUGAGGAGCGAAAGCGUGGGUAGCAAACAGG
rnacentral:rRNA from 1 species